AUUGAACGCUGGCGGCAGGCCUAACACAUGCAAGUCGAACGGUAACAGGAAGAAGCUUGCUUCUUUGCUGACGAGUGGCGGACGGGUGAGUAAUGUCUGGGAAACUGCCUGAUGGAGGGGGAUAACUACUGGAAACGGUAGCUAAUACCGCAUAACGUCGCAAGACCAAAGAGGGGGACCUUCGGGCCCCUUGCCAUCGGAUGUGCCCAGAUGGGAUUAGCUUGUUGGUGGGGUAACGGCUCACCAAGGCGACGAUCCCUAGCUGGUCUGAGAGGAUGACCAGCCACACUGGAACUGAGACACGGUCCAGACUCCUACGGGAGGCAGCAGUGGGGAAUAUUGCACAAUGGGCGCAAGCCUGAUGCAGCCAUGCCGCGUGUAUGAAGAAGGCCUUCGGGUUGUAAAGUACUUUCAGCGGGGAGGAAGGGAGUAAAGUUAAUACCUUGGCUCAUUGACGUUACCCGCAGAAGAAGCACCGGCUAACUCCGUG
rnacentral:rRNA from 1 species